CGGUGGCAGAAGAACGGUUUACACGGUGGAUCUAAUAAGAUCCUCGCUGGUGGAGGAGGGAGAAUUGGUUGGGUAGGAUUUUCUCAUUUCCUCGAUUGUGGAGGAGGGAGACUAAUUAGUUGGGUAGGAUUUUCUCAGUUUUGAAGAGGAAUUAGGGAUUCAAGAGUUAAAGUUUGGGAAAAAUGGGAUUAUUUUUUUUAUUUUUUUAUACUUUUACUGAAAAUUGGUUUUAGAAUAACGAAAGGAAGGGAAAGAGUUGGAGAUAGUAAAGGAGAGAAUAGUCAUUUCCUUAACAAAAAGUAUAGAGGUAGUAGAAAGUGGGUGUGAUGGUGAAUACUUUAUGGUAAAGUAGGUGUAUAUGCUAAUAUCUCAUGAAACAUAGAGAAGCUGAGUUUGUUUGUUUUUUUUAAUCGGUUUUUCCAAGCUUUCUCUCUCUCCUUCUCUCUCACUUUUUUUAUUGUUGUCAUUUUAAGUUGUUA
rnacentral:lncRNA from 1 species